UACGUAGGGUGCAAGCGUUGUCCGGAAUUAUUGGGCGUAAAGAGCUCGUAGGCGGUUUGUCGCGUCGAAUGUGAAAACCCGGGGCUCAACCCCGGGCCUGCAUUCGAUACGGGCAGACUAGAGUUCGGUAGGGGGAGUCUGGAAUUCCUGGUGUAGCGGUGAAAUGCGCAGAUAUCAGGAGGAACACCGGUGGCGAAGGCGGGUCUCUGGGCAGUAACUGACGCUGAGGAGCGAAAGCGUGGGGGAGCGAACAGG
rnacentral:rRNA from 1 species